rnacentral:rRNA from 1 species
AAAUUGAAGAGUUUGAUCAUGGCUCAGAUUGAACGCUGGCGGCAGGCCUAACACAUGCAAGUCGAACGGUAGCACAGAGAGCUUGCUCUCGGGUGACGAGUGGCGGACGGGUGAGUAAUGUCUGGGAAACUGCCUGAUGGAGGGGGAUAACUACUGGAAACGGUAGCUAAUACCGCAUAACGUCGCAAGACCAAAGAGGGGGACCUUCGGGCCUCUUGCCAUCAGAUGUGCCCA